CAACUCCNCAGAAUUCCCCAGCCAGCAGACCAGGGGUCCCCCGCCUUGGCCACUUGGUCUGCUGGCUGGGGAAUUCUGGGAGUUGG
rnacentral:pre_miRNA from 1 species